UCCCCCUUGGCUCAGCGGUAGAGCGUGUCACUAGUAGGGUCUUGUGACCACAUUAUGACAAGGUCAGUCGUUCAAGUCGGCUAGGGGGAA